rnacentral:lncRNA from 1 species
AUGGUGGUGCGAUGCAGAAUGGAGACACAGGAGUGGAAUAUUUCCAUGUGGUAUAACAAUAUGCACAAUGUACACAAUUUUCCUGCCUUGCCACUGCAGCCACAAGAACUUGACUUAUUGGGAAUUACACAGGCUGCAGUCUGCUUUUAUCUAAAUUAUACUGCAAGGGCACCUACCAAAGAGGGUGACGUUGAUGUAUCUCCCUCAGGCAUUUAUGCCAAUACAUCUGUAUGGUGUAAUCACACCACCUCAGGUCAAAUAACACCUGGACCACAACCCAUAGGGUUGGCUGCUAAGAUAUUCUUAAUUUGUGGUCAGAGAGCCUGGAAAGGCGUACCAGGUAAAGCUGUGGGGGGACCAUGUAUCUUUGGACUUUUGACAAUAUUCCAUCCCGAAAAAUGGUUAAUUGACGGAACGGUCCAUCUUCGAGCAAAGCGAUCCACCCACAGCUUUACGUCAGGUUGCGAUAGUAACGUAGAAUUUUGGAAUCCAGCAGAACGUAUCUUGAGUAGUAUUUUUGCAGGAAUAGGGACUGCUCAUGCUUUAUCACAACUUAACAGAUUAGGAUGCUGGCUUGCAAAAGAAGCAAAUGCUACUAGUACUGCUUUAAGCGCCUUAUUAACAGACAUAGAUUCAAUUAGAUACACCACCUUACAAAAUCGGGCUGCAACUGACUUUUUGCCAUUGGCCCAAGGCCAUGGCUGUCAGGACUUUGAGGGAAUGUGUUGUAUGAACCUGAGUGAUCAUUCUGAGUCAGUACAUACAAGCAUUGCAAAAUUGAAGGAGUUAACAAAACAACUGCAAGAAGACRAUGGUGAAAACUUGUGGGGACUGUUUGAUUGGUUGAAUAUGCUUGCUAUAGGGCCCUGGUUGGCGACGGGACUAAAACAGCUGAUUACCGUAGGUGUCGUGGGUAUGCUCCUAUUGAUUUGUGGGCCUUGCAUACUGCAAUGCAUCCUAGCUCRGGUACAGAAAAUGGUUGAUCUAUUAUUUGAAAGAAGAGGGGGAGGUGUUGAGGCCCUUGCGGUGCUUCAGAACAAUAAUCUAUAUGAGUUAUAG